AGGACGAACGCUGGCGGCGUGCUUAACACAUGCAAGUCGAGCGGUAAGGCCUUUCGGGGUACACGAGCGGCGAACGGGUGAGUAACACGUGGGUGAUCUGCCCUGCACUCUGGGAUAAGCUUGGGAAACUGGGUCUAAUACCGGAUAUGACCACAGUGCGCAUGUGUUGUGGUGGAAAGAUUUAUCGGUGCAGGAUGGGCCCGCGGCCUAUCAGCUUGUUGGUGGGGUAAUGGCCUACCAAGGCGACGACGGGUAGCCGACCUGAGAGGGUGACCGGCCACACUGGGACUGAGACACGGCCCAGACUCCUACGGGAGGCAGCAGUGGGGAAUAUUGCACAAUGGGCGAAAGCCUGAUGCAGCGACGCCGCGUGAGGGAUGACGGCCUUCGGGUUGUAAACCUCUUUCAGCAGGACGAAGCGCAAGUGACGGUACCUGCAGAAGAAGCACCGGCUAACUACGUGCCAGCAAGCCGC
rnacentral:rRNA from 1 species